CCUACGGGAGGCUGCAGUGAGGAAUAUUGGUCAAUGGCCGGAAGGCUGAACCAGCCAUGCCGCGUGAAGGUCAGUGCCCUAUGGGCGUUAAACUUCUUUUGUGCGGGAGCAAUAAUGGUCACGUGUGGCCCGACGAGAGUACCGUACGAAUAAGCAUCGGCUAACUCCGUGCCAGCAGCCGCGGUAAUACGGGGGAUGCAAGCCUUAUCCGGAUUGAUUGGGUUUAAAGGGUGCGUAGGCUGUGAGGUAAGUCAGCGGUGAAAUGCCCCCGCUCAACGGGGUGAAGUGCCAUUGAUACUGCCUUGCUGGAAUGCGGAUGCCGUGGGAGGAAUGUGUGGUGUAGCGGUGAAAUGCAUAGAUAUCACACAGAACACCGAUUGCGAAGGCAUCUCACGAAUCCGCGAUUGACGCUGAUGCACGAAAGCGUGGGUAUCAAACAGGAUUAGAUACCCCAGUAGUC
rnacentral:rRNA from 1 species